UUACCAUGCAGUCGACGGUGACACGGAGCUUGCUCUGUGGGAUCAGUGGCGAACGGGUGAGUAACACGUGAGCAACCUGCCCCUGACUCUGGGAUAAGCGCUGGAAACGGCGUCUAAUACUGGAUAUGUGACGUGACCGCAUGGUCUGCGUCUGGAAAGAAUUUCGGUUGGGGAUGGGCUCGCGGCCUAUCAGCUUGUUGGUGAGGUAAUGGCUCACCAAGGCGUCGACGGGUAGCCGGCCUGAGAGGGUGACCGGCCACACUGGGACUGAGACACGGCCCAGACUCCUACGGGAGGCAGCAGUGGGGAAUAUUGCACAAUGGGCGCAAGCCUGAUGCAGCAACGCCGCGUGAGGGACGACGGCCUUCGGGUUGUAAACCUCUUUUAGCAGGGAAGAAGCGAAAGUGACGGUACCUGCAGAAAAAGCGCCGGCUAACUACGUGCCAGCAGCCGCGGUAAUACGUAGGGCGCAAGCGUUAUCCGGAAUUAUUGGGCGUAAAGAGCUCGUAGGCGGUUUGUCGCGUCUGCUGUGAAAUCCGGAGGCUCAACCUCCGGCCUGCAGUGGGUACGGGCAGACUAGAGUGCGGUAGGGGAGAUUGGAAUUCCUGGUGUAGCGGUGGAAUGCGCAGAUAUCAGGAGGAACACCGAUGGCGAAGGCAGAUCUCUGGGCCGUAACUGACGCUGAGGAGCGAAAGGGUGGGGAGCAAACAGGCUUAGAUACCCUGGUAG
rnacentral:rRNA from 1 species